AUGAGAUGGUUUAUUGACACAAGCUGCACAGACCCUCUCGCUCUCUAACACACACACACACGUGCACAAGUGCACACACACACACGCACACACACUCACAAACAGAGGGACCUUCUGACUAACAUUUCAUUCCCUCCCUCGCUCUAGCACUCACGCUCACAUACACAUAUACACAAGCUCAGGACACCAGCUCAUGUUUGUUUUACAGUACUUUCUACUGACCAUAACACAUCAUAUUAAUUUUGUAGGUAGCAUUUUGGUUGGAUUCAGGUACAUUUCAGUGCUGUCUGUGCUACAAAACACACAUUACAUUACAUGGUCGUGUACAAGUGUUCACAUGGACAUUCAGACUCACACUCAUGCUAAUGCAGGUGUUGGGUCAGGUAUUUCCCUAUGACACACAACAGGACAAAAUCACACUGUUCAAUGUGAAUCUCCCCUUAAAAGUUGGAUCAACACAUCCCAGGAAAAACAUGGGAGAAAAUAGGCCUGCUCUUACACAUACACACACAUCGCAUACAAACACACACAUGCACUCAAAUAUAGUGCAUUCACACACACACCAGUACAUUAACAUACCCAUACACACACGCACGCGCACACGCACACACACACACACACACACACACACACACACACACACACACACACACACACACACACACACACACACACACACACACACACCAGCUCAUACAGUAACACUUAUAACUUGGCAGAACAUCCACAGUAAGCAGUAAAUGGUUAAUUCAUGAUUGAGUCGGGAUCGUAGGCAGCAAACAACACGCAAUAAAUAGAUUCAGACACAGUCUCAACAAUAACAGCCCACACAAGACCAAUGCAUCGAUGCUUACAACAAUGGCAAGGGCAACCGUUGGAUCAAACAGAACAGGAAUUUUGUGGAAAGAGAACAAAAGUGGAAAUUACUUUUACGACAUUCACACAACUAUCACUUGGCUGGCUUGUCUAUGGUCAAACCAUAACCCAAAAUACACAAUAUCUCUAUCUCCAAACAGAAAGCAGUUGGCUAACCAGUGGAUUAAUAUGAGCCGUUGACAGCCGCUUGAGGCAAACAAUGGGCUUUAUAUGUCUCCAGAACAAUUUUUUGGCGCAUAUAAAUGUUUAAUUUGUCCACGUUUAUUGAGUGUGAGUCGGCUAUGGGUCCAAAGAGACCCGUUUUAACAGCGCUGAGGAUUUCCCUGCUAAAUGUGUUUCCUUUCGGAAAUGAAAACACAAUUCACGUGUAACCCAACAUUUAAUAAACUAAGAUGGAAGCUAUUUAUCUCACACUAUCUAGAACGUUGAUUAGCCUAGGUUGGGGGGGAAAUUAAUUAUACUUAGCAUGCGAUCGGAGGAUUAAAGCUCAACAACACCUCGAUACAAUGAAUAAGGAAAUAGACAGAAAAAAGUUUGAGACCAGUGCUGACGAUUUUGAAGAGCAUGUGGAUCCGCAGAAUACACAACAUGUAUCAUCAAGUUUGAACUAAUUGAAUGCAACUUUGAAACAAAACAAGUAUUCUUUUUUUCAUCCAAAUGUGUCAGUUACGCCUCUCGUUAACUUGCCCUUUGUUUUCUUUCCAACUUUCUGUCAAGCCUGAGGCUAGCUUUAACUAGCUCCCUCACAAACCAGGGUCAGAGACUUCAGGAGAUUUUCUUCCCUUACCAUUCCUGCUAGACCCUUUGUUCCAUAGGGUAGUGUCGGGUGACUCAAGGCGUGAGAGUGCAAAAGGCUUUAACCUGGAGUCCAUAAGAACUGCCUGCCGACCAGGCAAAAAACAUGGCUCAAGGGGUGAAGGUACAGAAGCUUCAAGUGAGUAUGGAAGGCCAGAGGCAGACAUAGAGAACAAACAUAAACUGUGGUUUUCAAAUUGUCUCAUGUUGGCAGGAGAACGUACAACAACAUCACUAAGAUCAAAUCCCUUUUGAACCAUUCUGUGCUCCUUGGCAAA